rnacentral:tRNA from 1 species
GGGGCAGUGUCGAAAUGGCAGCCGACGGAGACUUAAAAUCUUCUGCUCUCACGAGCGUGUGGGUUCGAGUCCCACCUGCCCCA